rnacentral:rRNA from 1 species
AGAGUUUGAUCAUGGCUCAGGAUGAACGCUAGCGGCAGGCUUAAUACAUGCAAGUCGUGGGGCAGCAGGUUUGUAGCAAUACAUUUGAUGGCGACCGGCAAACGGGUGCGGAACACGUACAGAACCUUCCUUCGAGCGGAGAAUAGCCCAGAGAAAUUUGGAUUAAUACUCCAUAGUAUAGCGAAGAGGCAUCUCUUUGUUAUUAAAGAUUUAUCACUUGAAGAUGGCUGUGCGGCUGAUUAGGUAGUUGGCGGGGUAACGGCCCACCAAGCCUGCGAUCAGUAACUGGUGUGAGAGCACGACCAGUCACACGGGCACUGAGACACGGGCCCGACUCCUACGGGAGGCAGCAGUAAGGAAUAUUGGUCAAUGGACGCAAGUCUGAACCAGCCAUGCCGCGUGGAGGAUGAAGGUCCUCUGGAUUGUAAACUUCUUUUAUCUGGGACGAAAAAAGGCUUUUCUAAGUCGUCUGACGGUACCAGAUGAAUAAGCACCGGCUAACUCCGUGCCAGCAGCCGCGGUAAUACGGAGGGUGCAAGCGUUAUCCGGAUUCACUGGGUUUAAAGGGUGCGUAGGUGGGUUGGUAAGUCAGUGGUGAAAUCCCCGGGCUUAACUUGGGAACUGCCAUUGAUACUAUCAGUCUUGAAUACCGUGGAGGUCAGCGGAAUAUGUCAUGUAGCGGUGAAAUGCUUAGAUAUGACAUAGAACACCAAUUGCGAAGGCAGCUGGCUACACGAGUAUUGACACUGAGGCACGAAAGCGUGGGGAUCAAACAGGAUUAGAUACCCUGGUAGUCCACG